UCCCAGCGACUUCCAAUAUUCAUGUUUCUGAGAAUUGUGUCCCUCUUCAGGUUCCCUCUUGGUGCCUAACCUGGAUUAGUAAUGUGCAUUCAGGUGAAUUUUCAGCUGAGGCUCUGAGAACUGGUACUCUCAGUGUGUUCUGGUCAUCUUGUGGCUUAGUUGUAGAAGCAGGUGUGUCUCUUGCCUCUGCUUGCCUCCUACUGCACACUCAGCACCCAGGACUGGAAUCACCGACUACUGAAUCUCCUACAUGUAUUGCUGCUACUUCAAGCUCCUCCACUUGAAACCUUAUGAUUUUCCCAAGGGGAGAUGGGACAGUGUCAUCUAAAUAUUCCGAAUGUUUGGCCUUCUGAGAAAAGAGCUUCUAGUAAUUGAACCAUGGGAAACCCAGCUUCUGGAGGGUUGGCCGUGGGGCUGUGUACAUGUGUGUGCCCAGGGAAAUCAACUCUUUUGGAGGAGAGUGCUCUCUGCUCAUCUCCACCUUCCCUCUGGUCAGGAGCAUGAACUCCCAUCUUGGCCUUGUCCUGGGGUAUUAGUCCAUUCUCAUGCUGCUAAUAAAGACAUACCUGAGACUGGGUAAUUUAUGA
rnacentral:lncRNA from 1 species